UUAAAAGGAGGAACAAAGUCGUCAGCCAAAGGAUAGUGAAAAUUUUCAGGUUUCUGGAAACCUGACUUGGAAGGAAGAGGCAUUAAAAAGUUGGGACCUCUUAACUUUGAAGAACUAAACUUGAAGAAGUAAUUACUGAAUCAAAUUCGGUCUAGAGUUAGGACCUGGGGAUGUGCUCCAAAGUUCUCUAUCCCCACCCUGGUCUGUUAUAACAUUUUAAGUGGCAGGUGGACUUAACAGCACCAGCCCUGGAGAUGAUGGUGCUGGCAAAGACCUCACUGGUCACCAGGACGAGUCUGUCGGAUCAAUGCCUGUGGCUCUGUAGAGGGGCUUACCAAGAGGAGCUGGCCUAUUCUCAAGCACAGAUGAGAGCUGAGCAGCCGUGCAGAUGGCCCAGGAUGAUGACAACAUCCCCAGUGUACAGAACAUGGAUGGCGACAUAUCUGGAGAGUGACCAGAGUGAGACUCUCACCAUGAAACUCCCAGGGGGAGAGACACUCACUCAUCUUCUGCCUUGCACCCAAGGUCACUGAGCACUGGUAGCCAUAGCGAAUAAAGGGAUGAGGGGAGCAAAUCUGACCUUUCUCCUGGACAUUCUGAAAAAUGAGGGGCCCCCUAGGACCCUGAAGCCAUCCAAGCCAACCUGCUUCAUGGUAAUCUACAUGAAGAACCCAUAAUGCAUUACUUUGUGGGAGCAUUUUCUUUCUUCCACUAAUGCUUUGAGUUUCAAUCUAAGAGGUGCCUGUGACAGUUGGUUGGGCACAGAGAGCCAACAUCCUCAGAGUAUGACUUCUUUUGCCUGGAUUAGAGGUAGCAAUAAGAACUCAGGAGGCUUUGCAGGGCCCAGCCUGAGAGGCGGUUGACAGAAUAGAACUCAUGAGAAGACCUCUGGUUGGACUGAAGCUGAGCAUUGUGGAGUCAGUAUUGAUGAAGCCAGGGUGACCCUGCAGAAGAGGCAUCUCCAGAAAUAAAGGGUGUGGCUGUUGUUGGUCAGAUCUCCAGGCGAAACACCUUCUCACAUCCUCA